rnacentral:rRNA from 1 species
GAUGAGCGCUGGCGGCAUGCCUAACACAUGCAAGUCGAACGAGAUUCUUUGAAUCUAGUGGCGGACGGGUGAGUAACGCGUAGGUACCUACCUUUGGGAGAGGGAUACCAAUUGGAAACGGUUGUUAAUACCUCGUAUGCUGAGAAGUGAAAGGCUGGUAUUUUUACCAGUUGCCCAAAGACGGGCUUGCGUCUGAUUACUUUUUGGCUAGUUGGCUGGGGCAACGGCCCAGCCAAGGUCAUGAUCAGUAGCCGGUCUGAGAGGAUGAUCGGCCACA